rnacentral:rRNA from 1 species
GUUGGAACAUCCCCCCCUCCGGCUGCUGGCCUCCGGAGUCUGAACAGCUUUGGCCGUUUCCCGUCCGCGGCGGUAUUGCUUCGGAUGCCUUCCCGACCCGUCUUGAAACACGGACCAAGGAGUCUAACAUAUGCGCGAGUCACUGGGAAUCCAUAAAGCCAGAGGCGCAAUGAAAGUGGGGCGGCCUCGUGCCGCCAAGGGAGGAUGACGACCCUUCGCGGGAAAGCCCGCACUCCCGGGGCGCCCCGGCUUCGGCCGUGGGCGCACUCGGAGCGUACACGUUGGGACCCGAAAGAUGGUGAACUAUGCCUGGUCAGGACGAAGUCAGGGGAAACCCUGAUGGAGGUCCGCAGCGAUUCUGACGUGCAAAUCGAUCGUCAGAGCUGGGUAUAGGGGCGAAAGACUAAUCGAACCAUCUAGUAGCUGGUUCCCUCCGAAGUUUCCCUCAGGAUAGCUGGCGCCCGCUUGGAACGGGACGAGUCUCAUCCGGUAAAGCGAAUGAUUAGAGGCCUUGGGGCCGAAACGACCUCAACCUAUUCUCAAACUUUAAAUGGGUGAGAACUCCGGCUUGCUCGAUUGAAGCCGCGAGACGGAUCAGGGUGCCAAGUGGGCCAUUUUUGGUAAGCAGAACUGGCGCUGUGGGAUGAACCAAACGCCGGGUUAAGGCGCCUAAACCGGAGCUCAUGGGAGACCAUGAAAGGCGUUGGUUGCUUAAGACAGCAGGACGGUGGCCAUGGAAGUCGGAAGCCGCUAAGGAGUGUGUAACAACUCACCUGCCGAAGCAACUAGCCCUGAAAAUGGAUGGCGCUAAAGCUCCGUGCCUAUACCCGGCCGCCGGAAGGCAUUGGCGCGAGGCGCUCCCCUCCGGGGGGGGCUCCGAGCGCGCGAAGCCCCGGCGAGUAGGAGGGCGCGGCGGUGAGCGCGGAAGGGUCUGGGCGCGAGCCUGCCUGGAGCCGCCGCCGGUGCAGAUCUUGGUGGUAGUAGCAAAUACUCAAGCGAGGGCCUUGAGGGCUGAUGUGGAGAAGGGUUUCGUGUGAACAGCCGUUGCACACGAGUCAGUCGAUCCUAAGCCCUAGGAGAAAUCCGAUGUCGAUGCGGGGGGGCUACAACAAGUUUCCCCCUCGAUGGGCGAAAGGGAAUCCGGUUCCUAUUCCGGAACCCGGCAGCGGAACCGAAUCUACGGGCCCUCAUCUGAGAAGCUCGUCGGGGUAACCCAAAGGGACCCGGAGACGCCGUCGGGAGACCCGGGCAGAGUUUUCUGUUCUGCAUAAGCGUUCGAGUUCCCUGGAAUCCUCUAGCAGGGAGAUAGGGUUUGGAACGCGAAGAGCACCGCAGUUGCGGCGGUGUCCGGGUCGUCCCCUCGGACCUUGAAAAUCCGGGAGAGGGUCACGCGGAGGUGUCGCGCCGGCUCGUACCCAUAUCCGCAGCAGGUCUCCAAGGUGAAGAGCCU